UGGGGAAUAUUGGACAAUGGGCGGAAGCCUGAUCCAGCCAUGCCACGUGUGUGAAGAAGGCCUUUUGGUUGUAAAGCACUUUAAGCGAGGAGGAGGCUACUUGGAUUAAUACUCUAGGAUAGUGGACGUUACUCGCAGAAUAAGCACCGGCUAACUCUGUGCCAGCAGCCGCGGUAAUACAGAGGGUGCGAGCGUUAAUCGGAUUUACUGGGCGUAAAGCGUGCGUAGGCGGCUUCUUAAGUCGGAUGUGAAAUCCCUGAGCUUAACUUAGGAAUUGCAUUCGAUACUGGGAAGCUAGAGUAUGGGAGAGGAUGGUAGAAUUCCAGGUGUAGCGGUGAAAUGCGUAGAGAUCUGGAGGAAUACCGAUGGCGAAGGCAGCCAUCUGGCCUAAUACUGACGCUGAGGUACGAAAGCAUGGGGAGCAAACAGG
rnacentral:rRNA from 1 species